rnacentral:rRNA from 1 species
UACGGAGGAUCCAAGCGUUAUCCGGAAUCAUUGGGUUUAAAGGGUCCGUAGGCGGUUUAGUAAGUCAGUGGUGAAAGCCCAUCGCUCAACGGUGGAACGGCCAUUGAUACUGCUGAACUUGAAUUACUGGGAAGUAACUAGAAUAUGUAGUGUAGCGGUGAAAUGCUUAGAUAUUACAUGGAAUACCAAUUGCGAAGGCAGGUUACUACCAGUGGAUUGACGCUGAUGGACGAAAGCGUGGGGAGCGAAC